UACGGAGGGAGCUAGCGUUGUUCGGAAUUACUGGGCGUAAAGCGCACGUAGGCGGCUUUGCAAGUUAGAGGUGAAAGCCUGGAGCUCAAUUCCAGAACUGCCUUUAAAACUGCAUCGCUUGAAUCCAGGAGAGGUGAGUGGAAUUCCGAGUGUAGAGGUGAAAUUCGUAGAUAUUCGGAAGAACACCAGUGGCGAAGGCGGCUCACUGGACUGGUAUUGACGCUGAUGUGCGAAAGCGUGGGGAGCAAACAGGG
rnacentral:rRNA from 1 species